GUAUCGAUCCUAGAGCAGGAAAUGUCAGUAUCAGAAAUAUCGAUACUUUAGUAUCGAUCCGCAUAUCACUAGUGCAAACUGACAGGUUAGCGACUUUAUCCUGUCAUUUUCUGUCAUUACAGAGACAUGUGUUGCAGUAUGAGAGUCCUACCUGAAGAGAGGCUGUGAAGCAUAAGCGAAGGUAGCGUGGGUGCAUGGGGACAACCAACCCAGGGCCCCGGCUGGUAGGGGGCCCACUACGUGGACUACAACGUUUAGCUCAGUUGAUUGUAGUGGACACGAAUUAAAAAUAUCGUGAGCAACUGGCAGCAGCACCAUACACGCCCAGCUACACGGUUGUCACACAGAUCACCACUGCCUGCAACCCGCACUGCAGCCCCAAACUCUCUUGUAUCCACCUUCCAGGCCGUGUUUGGAAGCCUCCCCCUCAGCCUCGCCCCAGGAUACCAGACCUCCUC